GUCUAUGGCCAUACCACCCUGAACGCACCCGAUCUUGUCUGAUCUCGGAAGCUAGGCAGGGUUGACCCUGGUUAGUACUUGGAUGGGAGACCGCCUGGGAAUACCAGGUGCUGCAGGCU
ensembl:rRNA 5S_rRNA 5S ribosomal RNA